rnacentral:rRNA from 1 species
UACGGAGGGAGCUAGCGUUGUUCGGAUAUACUGGGCGUAAAGCGCACGUAGGCGGCGCCGUAAGUCAGGGGUGAAAUCCCGGAGCUCAACUCCGGAACUGCCCUUGAAACUGCAUCGCUUGAAUCCGGGAGAGGUGAGUGGAAUUCCGAGUGUAGAGGUGAAAUUCGUAGAUAUUCGGAAGAACACCAGUGGCGAAGGCGGCUCACUGGACCGGUAUUGACGCUGAGGUGCGAAAGCGUGGGGAGCAAACAGG